rnacentral:rRNA from 1 species
GUCUAUGGCCAUGCCACCCUAAACACACCUGAUCUCGUCUGAUCUCGGAAGCUAACCAGGGUCAGGCCUGGUUAAUACUCGGAUGGGAGACUACCUAGGACUACCAGGUGCUGUAGGCU